rnacentral:rRNA from 1 species
AAUUGAGGGGGGCUGCUCCUAGUACGAGAGGACCGGAGUGGACGCAUCACUGGUGUUCGGGUUGUCAUGCCAAUGGCACUGCCCGGUAGCUAAAUGCGGAAGAGAUAAGUGCUGAAAGCAUCUAAGCACGAAACUUGCCCCGAGAUGAGUUCUCCCUGAGACUCUGAGUCUCCUGAAGGAACGUUGAAGACGACGACGUUGAUAGGCCGGGUGUGUAAGCGCAGCGAUGCGUUGAGCUAACCGGUACUAAUGAACCGUGAGGCUUAACCUUACAACGCCGAAG